rnacentral:rRNA from 1 species
GACGAACGCUGGCGGCGUGCCUAAUACAUGCAAGUAGAACGCUGAAGAGAGGAGCUUGCUCUUCUUGGAUGAGUUGCGAACGGGUGAGUAACGCGUAGGUAACCUGCCUUGUAGCGGGGGAUAACUAUUGGAAACGAUAGCUAAUACCGCAUAACAAUGGAUGACACAUGUCAUUUAUUUGAAAGGGGCAAUUGCUCCACUACAAGAUGGACCUGCGUUGUAUUAGCUAGUAGGUGAGGUAAUGGCUCACCUAGGCGACGAUACAUAGCCGACCUGAGAGGGUGAUCGGCCACACUGGGACUGAGACACGGCCCAGACUCCUACGGGAGGCAGCAGUAGGGAAUCUUCGGCAAUGGGGGCAACCCUGACCGAGAAACGCCGCGGGAGUGAAGAAGGGUUUCGGAUCGUAAAGCUCUGUUGUAAGUCAAGAACGGGUGUGAGAGUGGAAAGUUCACACUGUGACGGUAGCUUAACAGAAAGGGACGGCUAACUACGUG